GCGGCGUGCCUAUCAUGCAGUCGAGCGAAUGGAUUAAGAGCUUGCUCUUAUGAAGUUAGCGGCGGACGGGUGAGUAACACGUGGGUAACCUGCCCAUAAGACUGGGAUAACUCCGGGAAACCGGGGCUAAUACCGGAUAACAUUUUGAACCGCAUGGUUCGAAAUUGAAAGGCGGCUUCGGCUGUCACUUAUGGAUGGACCCGCGUCGCAUUAGCUAGUUGGUGAGGUAACGGCUCACCAAGGCAACGAUGCGUAGCCGACCUGAGAGGGUGAUCGGCCACACUGGGACUGAGACACGGCCCAGACUCCUACGGGAGGCAGCAGUAGGGAAUCUUCCGCAAUGGACGAAAGUCUGACGGAGCAACGCCGCGUGAGUGAUGAAGGCUUUCGGGUCGUAAAACUCUGUUGUUAGGGAAGAACAAGUGCUAGUUGAAUAAGCUGGCACCUUGACGGUACCUAACCAGAAAGCCACGGCUAACUACGUGCCAGCAGCCGCGGUAAUACGUAGGUGGCAAGCGUUAUCCGGAAUUAUUGGGCGUAAAGCGCGCGCAGGUGGUUUCUUAAGUCUGAUGUGAAAGCCCACGGCUCAACCGUGGAGGGUCAUUGGAAACUGGGAGACUUGAGUGCAGAAGAGGAAAGUGGAAUUCCAUGUGUAGCGGUGAAAUGCGUAGAGAUAUGGAGGAACACCAGUGGCGAAGGCGACUUUCUGGUCUGUAACUGACACUGAGGCGCGAAAGCGUGGGGAGCAAACAGGAUUAGAUAC
rnacentral:rRNA from 1 species